AAUUCUCAACCUUUCAAGCUUUUACUUGUUUUAAGGGCUUGGUCAGGUUUGGAUUCUGGGAGCUUGCUGGUCCUAGUGGGUCAGCUCUCCUCAAAUGUAUUAGCAAGAUCAUUGCCGAAUCACCUUUGAUAUGAUAAUUAUCUUAUAUCAUUGAUGUAAUGGUGCUUUCCUUAAAGGAAAAGAUCUGGCUUACAACUGUCUCUUUAGACGAUUGAUUAAACU
rnacentral:misc_RNA from 1 species